UACGUAGGGAGCAAGCGUUGUCCGGAAUCAUUGGGCGUAAAGCGCGCGUAGGUGGCCUCAUAAGUCCGCUGUGAAAGUCAAAGGCUCAACCUUUGAAAGCCGGUGGAUACUGUGAGGCUAGAGUACGGAAGAGGCGAGUGGAAUUCCUGGUGUAGCGGUGGAAUGCGCAGAUAUCAGGAGGAACACCGGUGGCGAAGGCGGUUCUCUGGGCAUGUCCUGACGCUGAGGAGCGAAAGUGUGGGGAGCGAACAGG
rnacentral:rRNA from 1 species